rnacentral:lncRNA from 1 species
AGAGGACAGCCAGAGAGAGCAGGUGCCUUUGAGACGCUGCAGUCGCUGCCAAGCAAACUCUAUCUUUUCUGCUGCCGUCCCUGGGGAGGGAAGCCAGUGGUUAGCAGACAGGACUUCUGUCUGUCCCUUUACAUGGGCACACAGUAACCAAGCAAUUACAAAGGAUUGUUAAACUGUGCAGCAGAUGGAAGAAGAGGAAGCUAAGGCAGCGUCUCUCCUUACUAAGAAUAAAACUGGAAGCGUGAGAGAGGCUCAGCUAACCAAGUUUCUGCAAGAGGAGGCGUUCAGGGCCCAAGCAGGUCAGCACGUGGUCCAGGUUGGUGCUCCUGUAAGGAGAAAGUCGGGAUGAGUGAGGCCAGAGCCUGCAGGGAGCCCGUCUGGCCAAGAAUCACUAUGGGGUGCUCUGGCUGCGGGUUGGCGGCAGGCAUCUUGCAGGCCUGUGAUGCAAGACCAGGAAACAAAGGGAUUGGGACACCGGUGGCCUCCGUCCUCACUAAAGCUACUUUUGUAUGGUACUGGGAACUGAAGCCAGGGCUUUGGACAUGCUGGCUCUCUGGAACUUGAUAGAACCAACACUGGUUUGGAGGAUGAUGCCUGAGAUUCCACCAGCCCUUGGGAGUCGGGCCAGGACUGCUACGAUCUUGUCUCAAAAGAACAACACGGAGACAGUGAGAUGGCUCAGCAGGUACAAGCGGCUGCUCUUGCAUGAGGACCCGAGUUUGAUCUGCAGAUCCCACAGUGAAAGAAGAGCCAAUUCAAGAUUGUCCUCUGACCCCAACUAAAUGUGACUGCCAUACAGGGAGAAGACAGUUCACAGAUCAUAAUAAAACCUAAAAGGAAACCUAUCUACAUUAAGAUAAAGACUAUAAUAAAGAUGAUAUGUCAAGUUGACAGGGUGAAAUUUUUUUUUAAAGAUUUAUUUACUUAU